rnacentral:rRNA from 1 species
UUAAGGGCGUAUGGUGGAUGCCUUGACAUCAAACAGCGAUGAAGGACGUGGCGUAGCUGCGAUAAGCUUCGGGGAGGCGCCUAGCAGCCUGUGAUCCGGAGAUUUCCGAAUGGGGAAACCUAAUACAGUAAACCUGUAUUACUCCGACAUUAAUGUCGGAGUGUGCACCCGCUGAAGUGAAACAUCUCAGUAAGCGGCGGAAAAGAGAAAAAUUUUAUUCCCUUAGUAGCGGCGAGUGAAAAGGGAAGAGCCCAAACCAAAGAUGUAGAUAGCAAUAUUUAUAUAUCUGGUGUUGUAAGGUAGAGACGCUGUUUUGCUUAUCGCAAAGCUUUCAAUUUUGGAAAGUUUUGCGAUUUGCGGAAUAAGAGAGAGUUACAAAUUUAUUUGUUAGCCGAAUCCGCUGGAAAGCGGAACCAUAGCGGGUGAAAGUCCCGUAGGCGAAAACGAAUAAACUCUUUAGUUUCUAUUCUUGAGUACCUCGAGGACAGAAUGCUUCGAGGGAAUCUGCCGGCACUAUCCGGUAAGGCUAAAUAUGUUUGAUGAUCGAUAGUGAACUAGUACCGUGAGGGAAAGGUGAAAAGUAGGCCGGCGAGGCCGAUGAAAUAGAAUCUGAAACCAUAUGUCUACAAGGAACGGAAGCUCAACCCCGCAGCAAUGCGGGGCGAGCAACCGUGUGCCUAUUGAAGAAUGAGCCAACGACUUUAUAUAAAUCGUUUGUCUAAGCUUUACGGAGCGGAGGCAAAGGGAAACCAAGUGUUAAAAGCGCGUCAAUAACGGUUUAUAUAAGACCCGAAGCCAGGCGAGCUUGCCCUGGCCAGGAUGAAGUGGGGGUAAAACCCCAUGGAGGUCCGAACCGGUGAGUUGUGCAAAACUCUCGGAUGAGCUGGGGUAAGAAGUGAAAAGCUAAUCGAGCUUGGUAAUAGCUGGUUCUCUCCGAAAUAGCUUUAGGGCUAGCGGCUGUUAUAAAUUUUUUAGGGGUAGAGCGACUGGUUCGAAAGUAAAGAGCGAAAGCUCAGCUUCCGAGUCAAACUCCGAAUACUAAAAAAUCAGAGCAGCUAGUUAGAACAUGGGGGCUAAGGUAGCCAUCCUUUAAAGAGUGUGUAACAACUCACUAUUCGAUGGCGGGUUGCGCCGAAAAUUUACCGGGGCUAAGCAAAUUACCGAAGACACGGAUUGUCUCGCUUUCGAGCGAGGCAGUGGUAGGAGAGCAUUUCAAACGCGCUGAAGGUUGACCCGCGAGGGCGGCUGGAGUGUUUGGAAGAGAGAAUGUUGGUAUGAGUAACCACAAUCCGCCUGAGAAUGGCGGACCCCGAAAAUCCAAGGUUUCCUCCGUAACGGAAAUCGGCGGAGGGUUAGGCGAUCCUAAGGCAAUGGCGAAAGCCGCAGCUGAUGGGAAGCUGGUUAAUAUUCCAGCCCUUUCUUUGUUUUCGACGGGGUGACGAAGGAAAUAAAAAUGAGCGCCUUAAUGGUUUGGCGUUGCUUAUUUUAAGAAUUUUCCGACUAGAAAAUCUGUCGGAACGCUUUACGGCAAAAUUCAAAAAUCGGCAAAAUUCGUCUUCGGAUAAAAAUUCGUUUGAAGAGCCUUCCAAGAAAAACCUCUAAGGUUAGAGCAAAGAAAAUCGUACCGUAAACCGACACUGGUGGAUAGGGCGAGAAGCCCAAGGGGAACGGGUGAUUCCUCGUUAAGGAACUCGGCAAAAAAGCGGCCGUAAGUUCGCAAUAAGGCCUUCCCCCACCACUUUUAUCAGAAGUAUUUAAUAUAUUUUCGAUAUAUUAUUUAUAUAAUAAUAUUUGAAAAUGUAGAAAGUGUUUGUUGUAAAAGUGGUGGGGGACGCAGCGAAAGUAUCUCUGGCGACUGUUUAUCAAAAACACAGCUCCCUGCGAACUCGAGACAGGUUGGUCUCUAUCUGUUGCAGGCGUUGAAGUUUGAGGGAAGUUGAUCCUAGUACGAGAGGACCGGAUUGAACGAAUCUCUGGUCUACCGGCUUUGCCACCAGGUGAAGCGCCGGGUAGCUAUGUUCGGCAGGGAUAAGCGCUGAAAGCAUCUAAGCGCGAAGCCCAUCCCAAGAUUAGACUUCAAGACUCGUGGAAGACUACCACGUUGAUAGGCUUCAGGUGUAAGCGCGGCAACGCGUUUAGCCGAGAAGUACUAAUAAGU